rnacentral:rRNA from 1 species
AUUGAACGCUGGCGGCAGGCUUAACACAUGCAAGUCGAGCGGAGAUGAGGUGCUUGCACCUUAUCUUAGCGGCGGACGGGUGAGUAAUGCUUAGGAAUCUGCCUAUUAGUGGGGGACAACAUUCCGAAAGGAAUGCUAAUACCGCAUACGUCCUACGGGAGAAAGCAGGGGAUCUUCGGACCUUGCGCUAAUAGAUGAGCCUAAGUCGGAUUAGCUAGUUGGUGGGGUAAAGGCCUACCAAGGCGACGAUCUGUAGCGGGUCUGAGAGGAUGAUCCGCCACACUGGGACUGAGACACGGCCCAGACUCCUACGGGAGGCAGCAGUGGGGAAUAUUGGACAAUGGGGGGAACCCUGAUCCAGCCAUGCCGCGUGUGUGAAGAAGGCCUUAUGGUUGUAAAGCACUUUAAGCGAGGAGGAGGCUACUGAGACUAAUACUCUUGGAUAGUGGACGUUACUCGCAGAAUAAGCACCGGCUAACUCUGUGCCAGCAGCCGCCGCAGUAA